rnacentral:lncRNA from 1 species
CCUCAUUUGGAAAAAGGCAGCAAAAUCCUGACACACCUGCCUCCAAGGAGUCUUGUGAGGACAAAAUGAGGAAGGCGGGUAAAGCACUUGGCACCGAGUAAGCGCUCAAGAAAUAGCAGCAUUGCUCUCAUCUUCAAGUCCCAGUAGGAGGGCAGUUUUAUCUUGCGGCAUCCUGUUCCCUUCAUCUUUCUUCCCAGAGCUCAGGUUUCCACUGGAUAGACUCUGGGACUCCUUGUGGAUGUGGAGUGUGGGCCCCCUUUUCACACUGCAGCAUCAUUGCUUUCAAGAGUCUGGGUGCUUCAAGUCUCAGGGUCCUUUUGGCCCUCAGCACAAUCUUUCUGACAACUAACUUUGCUUUUGAAUCACCUUCCAGGGGAGCAUUUAUCCACCAAUUCUUCGUAUCCCCUCAUGGGUUGGGAAAAAAUUGGAUCAAAGCAGAAGAACAUGCAGUGUUAGAACUUGCAGGAGAAAUUUGGGCCAACUCCCUACCACCUUUCACCUGCAAGAUUUGGUUUCCUUCCCACUUGCUUUUGUUUUCAUCAGCUGUCUGUACAGAGCCAAUGGAUGAAGUGAUUUUGUGGUCCUCUUGCCCCAGUUUUGUGACAUUUAUGGGAGACUAUAAUGCAAUGACAUAUAUUUUUUCCUUUGGAAGACAAAACAGAGCAGCCCUGUGGGUUGACUUUGAGCAAUCUGGACAGCUGCCUGAUCAGGCCUGAAAUUUUUUUCAAGUAUUGCAAAUGCUGAAUCGUUCUGAGGCCUCCUGCCCUGAUCUUUGUGCCCUCUGACCUUCACUAGUUACUUCAGAUGAUUUACAUGGCUUUGGUUUCGGGGUUGAAAUCAACUCUGCUCUCCUAUAGCUGGAUUCAAAAACUAUGGAAAUCUAUCCUCCUCGGUGGAGUUAAAAGAUGGUUAAAAUUGAUAAGCACUCCACUUGCGGCUCUGUGCGCACUCCAAGAUAACCACAGCACAAUCUAAUCUUGGGAAGCCUUGGAUUCCUCCAUCCCCCUUCCUCCUCUGAGCUUGGUCGUGCCCUUAACACACUCUGAAACCUUGGGUAAAUGGCUUCCUUUCUCUGGCCAUUCAUUUCCACCAAGCUCCUUAAGAUGUUGUGAUGAAGGAUGGAUAAGAGGUGUUCGAAAAUAUUUAGAAAAGUUAGAAUUUGUAUAUCAAAGUGUAUAUACAUAUAUGCAUACCUACAUAAUGUGUAGGUAUGUAUAUAUAUAUAAAUUUGCUGCUAAGCAGAGAGUGCCAGGUAGGUAGAAGUUGUGAAGGCAGUUUCAAACUACAAGGUCACACACACAUGCAAGGCACUACGGAGAUCAUUUCUAACAGUGAAGCUAGCUUUGUGGCUGGUGGUGUUUUAUCUUGAAAGGCUAGACUGUUGUUGCACUAACUACAAUUUAUUGGAUGAGCGAGAGGAGAUAAGGCUUGAGUGGUGACUCUGAGCUGGAGCUUGCAUAGCUGGGUUAGGGGAAGGUUAAGGUUAGGUUAGGUUAAAGACAAGGCUCUUAUCAUCCUCUUUCAUAUUUCUAACCCUCAUCCUCCCUCCCCUUUGUUUUCUUUUUUAUUUGUGCUUUCUAUAGAAGUAAUACUGGCUCUUUUGGAGAAUAUCUAGAAAGUUAAUAAGAUAUUAAAGAAACAGAGAAAAAUGUGUAAUUCUAUCUCCUUGAGUCAACCCCUAAGACUGUGAUCUAUUUCUUUUCUUUUGUUGUUAUUCUUUUGAACUAGGCAUUUUAAAAACAUCACUGAGAGCCUGCUGGUUAUGACAUUUUGGUAUCCUGCUCACCCUCAUUUCUUUCUUUCUUUCCUUUUUUUUUUUUUUUUUUUUUUGGUCUUUUUGCCUUUUCUGGGCCACUCCCACAGCAUAUGGAGGGUGUGGCCCUAAAAGGACAAAAAGACAAUAAAAUAAAAUAAAAGGAGGGAGGAGCUGCAUACUUCAGAAAAAGAGAUUCUAGGGGUGGUUAGAUUUUUCUAAAAUUUUUCUGCCAUCAAAUGUCAGUAACUUCCUUGCUCAAACACAUUUAAUGGUUCCUUAUUCUUUCCAAGAUAAAAUCAAAUCCCCGGAUAUAGACAUUUAGGUCCUUCAGUGACUGCUCUUCAUUUAUGCUUCCAGAUUUAUUUCUUUCUCUUCUGUCCCUCAUAGCAGAUUAAUCCUGAUCCCUCCAUUGCGUCCCACUGACUAAGGUCUCUCAACUCUUGCUCAAGUGUUUUCAUUCAGCUGGUAGUGGCCUCCCGAGAUUCUUUUCGAGGUCACUUCCCCCUACUUACCUAACUUGACUGUAUUUACAAAAGAGCAUUCCCUUAGAUCAGAGGUUAAAAACAGGCAGAUCAUUGGCUAAUUCAGCCAGCAGGUGACAGGACUUGUUUGCCUCUCACAGGGUUUUGAGAAUUUGAGCCAACAUUUAAAAAUCAGGAGAUUUCACACAACAACUGAAUUUUUAACUUAACCCAAAUAGUGGUACUUUCGCAAUACUGUGCCCACAUUUGUGCAAAGUGGUGUCUGUGGUUGCAGAGAAGUUCCUGGCCCCUACCUAUAGGUCAUAGGCUCUCCAGUUGUCACAGUCCCUGCCACUCACUGAGAGUCCAUACCUGUCCUUCCACCUGCUCUGCUUCUCACAUUGACAUCCCCUGUCUGGACUCUAGGCAUCUCUAUAUGGAACUCCUGCAUUAAAUGAAACAAUAAUAAUUUUAAAAUAAUACAUAAUUAAGACACACUCAGGAAGUCUAAAGCACUGCAAAACAGAUGAAUGUCCUGCCUAGAACUUGGCAUUGCAGAGUUGGAGGGAAUAUCUAGGUGACGAUCUUCUGGUGAAAGCCUACAUCUCCCCAUCCUGGUUUGGUCCCAUCAGCACUUACAUGGGCAGACUGUAGGAAUGAGAUGGGGAGUGUGGGAGACAGAGAGAGAGGACUCCAGGGGAUGCCCAGAGAGGACAUGAUUUGUCCAGCCUAGAAAGAGACCUAAUGAAAUGCCAUAGGUUCCAUGGUCUGUUGUAACAUGGGAAAAGAUUGUACUUCAGUGAGAGAGGCACUGGAAAUUCAUUCAAAGUGACCAUUACACCAUGUCUUGGACAACAAGAAAUCAAGAUGAUGAUUAGAGGCUUUUAUUGGUCAAAAGAAAAAUGAAACUAGAAGGGAAGAAACUGGGCAUUUGUUUCUCCAGCCCUAUGGCAAGUGCAGAGAUGGCAGAUAAGCUUUACUACCAAUUCUAGUGCCUACACCAAUCGAUUGGUAACACCUGUCUAGAAAUUUGUGUUGAGAAAUAUUCUCAGAUUAGUGGGGUCAACAUUUGGAUAAAAUGCUAUGAUUGAUUAGUGAUGUCUGCUAUGAGCAUUGAAUUAGAAGUAGCACAAUGCAUGACACGCACUUGUGUGCCUAGGUGAGAGAGUGUAUUUGGGUGGCAGCAAAGCAUUUCAUGACCUCUAUGGAGACAGAAAAUUUUACUACAGAAUGUGAUGAUAGUUACUCUGCAUUUUCUGCAAUUCUUUCUUUUUAGUUUUUUCUUAGUAUUCCAAAGGUGUUGAUAUUUUUUCCUUUUUAAGUGAAAAAUUUCAUGAGUUUUGGCUGUAUUGAAAGGAACUAAAGAGAACUAACCCUUUUUUGACCACUCUGGGCCUGUUAAAAGGGGAAGACUACUUCUGGUGCUGGGGGCAGGGCUGUUGCAGGAGUUGGGAACCCAGAGCUAUGGUCAAGGUUGCUUGUGUUGUGAGGCUCUCCUUCCUCACUCUUGCUCAAGCCAGGAGCUUUCUGGUUGGUUGGUUGUUUUCUUUUUACAGCCGCACCUGUGGCAUAUGGAAGUUUCCAGGCUAGGGGUUGAAUUGGAGCUGCAGCUGCAGCCUACACCUUAGCCACAGCAACACCUGAUCUGAGCCAUUGCGACCUACCCUGCAGUUCAUGGGAAUGCUGUUUCCUUAACCCAUGGAGCAGGGCCAGGGAUCAAACCCGCAACCUCAUGAAUACUAGCCAGGUUGGUUACUGCUGAGCCACAACGGGAACUCCGGGAGGUUUCUUGUUUUAAUUUAAGGAAGGCUGUUUCCUUCUAAAGCCUUGUCUCCAGCCAGUGCCAGCCAAUAGCUGUCCCCCUUGUGGGAAUCUCAUGCCUUCACCUCCCUCUGCUCACCCCCACCCCAUCUGCAUAAAAAUUCAAAGCCAGAGGCUCUAGGUCUUGAUGCCUCAGACACAACUCUGGCUAGGAGGCCUGAACAGUGGGUCUCACUGGCAGGCUGGCGGUGCAUUAGCCUGUGGCUGGCCUCAGGGGCAUGAUGACCUUCAAGAGGCCUUAGGACCCAUCUUUUCAGGCAUUCUCCUGGGUGAUGUUUUCUGGUGGUCCUGUUCACAAGGUGUCUUCAGUGGAGGAGAAGGAGGAAAGGCCUAAGGGAGGGGGCUUACUGCUGAUUCUCACCAGCAUGGCUGGAGGCAGGGGUUUUAGGUAUCAGAACCAUGGGGGAAACUUUCUCUCCCUACGUAGGGAGGUUCAGAGGGGAUGGAGUGGGGACAUGGGAAAGCAGGUGUACCCUGGAAGACCCCCCAGAUCAUUCUGGUGGAUACCCUCUGGCCUCUCCCAACUGCAUUCAUUGUGUGAUUGGAGGGGCUCCCCUGGCCGCUCUGCCUCUUAUUUUCUCUCUUUCUGUCUGUUGGCGUCUAAAAUGUCUCCCCUAGAGCCAUUCCUUAGCCGCUGUAACUCCAGUAUUUACCCUUUAAGAGACCUGAGGGUCCAUGGAGCAGGUAUUCUUUUCACAUGCCCAGGAUCUGAGGUGAAUACAACACUGGUCCAGGACUGGAGAGCCCUAGAUUGGAUCUGCCUCUGCCCCCAGGUCAUUUGAGUCCUCCCUGGGGUCUCAGUUCCCUCAUCUGUGCGCUGCAAGAAUGCGAUUCAGUCAUCCUGAAUCACCUUCCUUUCUCUCUGUGCAGAAGUAAUUCUAAACCCUCCCACUCAGGGUGACAGGGGAAAUCCCCAUGCACCUUCCCCUUCUUCCCCUCCCUCUAGUUUCUAGUGCUUUCCACAGCUGAAGGUCAACGAGAAUAUCACGGGCAGCUCCUUGAAAGGGGAAAAGCUCACAGAAAAUCAGCAUGCCCCUGGAGUGUGUUGUGAACGCAAAUGUUUGGGGCAGAUGUUUGAGACUGGAGUUGGGGGCCUGAGGAGGUGAUAGAGAAAUGGCUGUGUUAGGCACUGCAGGGCCAUCCGCCCCCCCAAAGCUCAUGUCACCCCCUGUCCUAUUUGUACUCAAGGAUAAAUACUGAACAGCAAACUAGAUAUCACAAAUCCAAAGUAGUUUUGAAUUUUUAAUGCUCUUCUGGAAAUAUAAAAAUAACAAAAUUCUUUAACAACUGUCUGGGUGGUGAGGUGGUUGGAGGAUGCUGGUGCCUUGUCAAGGUCAUUAUCAUGGCCCCGGCCUCCUCCACCACGUCUGUAUACGACCCUUAACAAGUCAGGUCUCCCAGAGUUUCCAUUUGCAACACAUGGACUUUCAAAUAAAGGUUCUCUAAAAACAUGUCAUAGAGUCAACAUUUUAUUACUUUACAAAUAGGUCUGCUGCUUUGGUUUGUUUUUAAAAAUCUGCCUAUCGAGGUGUCUGCAUUAAAGCAAACGUAAGCUAAAAAAAAAAAAAAAAAAA